AGGAGCCCGGGAAUCUUUUGUGCGUCGUCGUCGACUGCUAAGCAACUAUCAUCAAUUAUCCUCCGACAUUGGCAGCGCGCGGCUCGUGGCACAUCUCGAGCUGUUCUCGAUAGAGCCUCGAAGAGCUGGGAGAGACGACGCUCUUUCUAUCCUUCGAGACUCACGAGCGUUCACCUCACGCCGACACGAGAGAACCGGAGUGGGCCGGCUCGCGACGGUACAGAUUCUCUCGACACAAUGCCCAUUCCUGCCGUGAAAUUGUCUUAAUUGUGAUUAAAGUUUUUGUCAGUCGACGCCGGAUGUUCCUGUGUAUGCACGAGGAUAGAGAAAGAACUAGGUUUCUCCCGAGACACGAACAAAGCCCGCGACACUCUAGAUUCUUAUCGAAUACUGGAUUUCCUACGUAUACUUCGUUCUCGUAUUAGCACGGCGAAGAAAAGGGAGGAGAGAAUCGUCGAGCAGAAAAAUAACGAAACGUGUCUUGCGUACGUUACAAGAGGAAGCAACACAUCUCGCGUACAAAUUGAUGCGACAAUCUUCAUGCCGUUCCGAUAAUGAGCGACUGGAUAAAGCACCAUUCACUUCUAAAGGAACAGUAUGUAUUUUUCUACUCAAACGUUCCCAAGAUUUCACUAUUUUCUGAUAGAGAAAAACAUAACCAUGAUUUGACCUCGUAACACGUUUUUAUAAAACACCUCUCUAUUCCCGUAUCUGAUAUUACAUUCAUUUUACGAUAAUUUUCCGUAUACAAAGAAUUCGCGUUUUCUCUAGCCGUCACGAAAAAUAAAUGAACGCGAUCCAUGCAUUAACAGAGAAAUGCAGAACAGCGAAAGCUGAUAAUCUUCGAAUCGGCGCAAUUCGAUCUCUUGCAUAAUUCAUUAUAAUGUCCCGAUUGUAAUUGCGUCCGGCCAUGCACGCCACCAAUACUAUCGACACGCACGGUAUGAUCGAUAAACAUCAAAGCCAGUGUUCACUCGGUCGAUCGAAAUCGCCGCUGCGCGUAUUCGUUGAUUUAUACGAAACCACGGUACGGCAUCCGAUUCAACACAUAUAUAUAAUCACGUGUCGGGGGAUAAACUUAACCUUGAAAUCCUUCGUUUUUGCAGGAAAGAUGCACGCCUGUACACAGGCGAAAAUGAAUCAGUUGCACGCAGUGUCACGAGAAAUGUCGUCAGACCAGAAUACAAGGAAGCGACUGUCAUGAUUUAAUCGACGAACCAAUGAGACUUUUUGUCGUCCUCGAAGGAUAUAAACACUCUCGAAACUACGCUCUGUACGAGAGGUAACUCCAAAGGAAAAUCACACAAGACUACGAUGGCAACGUUCGACAAUUAGGACGCUUGCAAUCACUGAGAUUCCGUCGAAAGUUUUUGUUGGUAUUGAUACAGCAGGAUGCACGAGGAUUUUGAACGAACGACGCGCGUCAAAACACCCGUAUGCCUGACGGCUCUCGCUGCCGAGAUAUAACUGACACGACACACGCAACUACCUACUCUCGCGCUCGAACCGUGGAACGAUGAAACGGAACGUUCGGAACGCCGGAACUACGGAACGAUAUAUACCUGAAUCGCGUUUCAGCGCAACUUUAGGCGUGUCUUUAACCACCCGACACCACGUUUAAUGGAAAUAGAGGGUGUGCUCCUGAGGUCUAUGUCCCUGAAAUCUCGAGUUCGCUGAACUCUGGAAUAUUUCCAUUUCGAAGAAGAUGCCAGGCACCAUGGUUGGUAACACGCCAUAAAGACACCACUAACAGCUGUUUGUCACGCAAAAAAGAAGAAACAAAAAAGAAAUCAUUCAUGGUAAUACUGACAUCUGCCGAGGCAUAUAGGCGAUACGCGCGAGAACGAAACGGCAGAAGAACGUAUAUAACGGCGAAGGGCGAAAAGAAAUAUGGAGAACUGCUCGGAGAGCUGGUAGACGGCGCAUAAAAAAUGCCAAAUGUUUCGGGAUGUAGGAGGCAACGCGAACCUCGUCGACGCCAUUAACUCUUGAAUUUUUAAUACGUGAACGUGCAGCCCUUGCGUAUCAUGAAUUCUGCCUUGAAACACGGCGACAUGCUUGAAACAUCGAACAUCGAACGUCGAGCCACGCGUUUGUUCGAUCGUCGACUGAAAAGGGAACCGCUUACGACGAAGAAACACACCCCAGCAAAAUGGUUCUCUUUCGCGAUUAGCGCCGGUGUCACGGCACUUCCGCUGUGUCUGUACCUCGCGCCACAUCCUAUCGCCUUUUACUUCUUCCCUUCUUUAAUAUUCAGCCACCGUUCUCGUAACCUACGUCGUGCCGCCACGCCGCCAGACACACGUAAAUACGCGUACCUCACAAAUAUAGCGCGCAUGUGUGCAACGUGUUAUCCUCUGUGCGUGUCACUAUGCGCCUGUUCGCAGCAUAUGCAUACAAGCGUGCAUUCUCUGCGAGACAAUGGGCGUGCCCACCUCACGUGACUGGCACGUGAGCACCCUUAAAAAGGGCCCUCGGUUCCUGACGUUCAUUCAUACUGGUCUGCCUGUUUCGUGGUCGACACUGAUGACCCUACACCGCGCGUCGGAAAGUCAAGAAGAAUCGAACGACAGAAAGAGCAGAAAACCGCUGUUUAACCGUGUACCAUUCAGAGACGGUUUUCGUGAGUCUUGCAGGUGCGCGGACGAUUACACCGUGCAAACUAUGCGUCACCGUAACAAUGUCCUUUGCUCGACAGCUUCAACCGCUGCCCGACAGGAGUACCCUGCCGGGACAGGAGAAUAAUCCGUGGAACGAAUGCAGUGAACUUGUUACUUAAAUAAGCCGUGAAAGAUGGAGUGUGUUUGAAUAAAGGUAAAUAAACGCGUCUUGUGCACCGAGUACAAUGACCUUUCGUACUUCUGAAUUCGUAUUUAUUCAACCAUUUAAGCUCUUUAUAUUAUACAAUGUAUGUACACAAAUAUUAUAAAUGAGAAGACGACCGACUACAGGAUUCUUCGAUCUACGAAAUGCGGCGUAAUAAAAGCGAGCAAGUGAACGGCAAUGUCAAUGGUUUCACGACUAUUCUUGGAUCUCUUCCAAUAGCGCUAUCGUGCUCGGAAUCGAUAAAGGAACUAACGUUUAUUAUUUCGCAAGCAACCCCUCCCGUGUGAACGCGCUCGACCCUCACAAAUCGUAAUUGCCGGGCAACGAACAGGCAUGUCUAGCUGCUCUAUGAGAUAGCUUGCCUCUGAGUCACUCCCCCGCGGUGCGUUUAAACUUUGAACGCUUUCUGCACGUCGGACCGACACGUUACACUGCGCAAUAAUUGUAACGACUCUUGGCUUCGUUCAUGAAUCGACCGCUUCGGGCUGGCAACUGUUUCAUGCGUGUUCCAAUGUAUACGCGGAAAAUCAGGCUGAAUAGUUGCUUUGGAAAGCGAAACGCCAGUGUUUGAUAAUGCAAAUUCUUGUUCCAAUUUAUACGUUUUUAUAAAGAUUUCUUUUUCAUGUUGGCUUUAUAUCGCAUCGACACCUCGAUCAUUAGCGACAGAUAGAGAUUAUUCUUUUGCCAAUCUCUUCUGUUGCAAAAAUCAGACGAAUCUACCUCGAUAAAUUUUCCACACUUUCUUAGGUAAGUAGUCACUUUUCUUCGAGAAAGUUACGCGAACCACUACGUAGAUGGUAAUCUGCGGAAAAAAGUUCUGAUGAGUAGAAGGAACAAGGAACCAUCUACUGGUUGGAUUGCUGCAAUUUUUUGCACAUUCAAGUCGUUGCAAUCUAAUUUACAUUAACAUAGAACAGAAUUGGCUUUUCCCAAGUGAGCAAAAUUUUCAUCGCGUGCAAGAGGCAGACACGCCAUACGAACAAACGGACAGCGAAACUUUCAGCUCGCAGCUAGAUUUAAAACUGAAAUUCAACAGGUGGACCAUGCAAAUAUUUGUCGGAAACGAGGCAUUCGUAUAAUAUCACUCAUCAAUAGUGUUGCCCCGGGCAUUAUCAUCUACGUACAGAAAAAAGGGAUUCCUUCGUCGUGGAGAAAAUUGGCAGCUCCGUAACGUCUUCUUUUGUCGAUAACAUCCAGAUCGAUGAUGAUUAGAAUUUUUAUGUCAUCGGACGAAACUGUAAGGGCAAGCAUCCUAAACAUGUGGAAGGAAGCGUAGUUUAAAAGUUGAGCCGACAGAUCUGGCGAACGCUUUCAAGAUCAAAGAAUGGAUCUAAAAAGGAUUAAGCAUCCUAAGGCUCCUUGCCUCGAAGUAAAGCUGACUCAUAAGAAUCCUCGCUUCCAAAUCUGAUUGCGAAAAAUUAACUAACAACAGACAACGGCCAAACGUAUCAAAUCCCGUCAAAGAUGAAGCGGCCUGUAUGCAACGAAACAGAAUUUUCAUGGAGAAUUUUUUCCGCGUUGCGAGCUCUUCGCACAAGCCACGUCGUAAAAGAGAACGUGGAUUCGUUGCAGCUUCGAACGAUCGAUGCAAACGCGUGCGAAACGUUCGAUAUACCACGGCGAACGAACGGAGAACAUUGCACCACGAGGUUCACCUUGAAAGAAGUCAUCCUAGACUUUUUCCCUGAUUCGCACCUCCGGAAUAUCGAGGACGGAGGCGUCCGCUCGAAAAACCCGCUCGCCGCGUGGGUAACACGCAAGAAAAUCCGCGAAUGGUGGCGCAAUCGAAUAAAAGCUUAAUGUCUCUGUCCUUGCGGAACUUCGAAGAACGACGCCACACCCUCAUCGCCGUCGUCCGCUUCUUUCACAGCAUACACGCAAGAUGUUCGUCGCCUUAAUAAAGAUGUAACGUAUACAUAGGCUCCUGAAAGUAUUCCAACACUUGCAGGCACCUUUUAUGAAUAUAUUAUAUUAUGUGUAUCGUACAAAUCGUUUCGAAAUGCUAUUAGCGCUGUAGCGAGAUCCGGCUAUCUAUUGUACAUGUAUAUAUUAAUGAAAUUUCAGAACGUUUUACCUAACAUACACGAUAUAUGCAUAAGUGUUCUCUACGGUAAAUGUUCAAAUAUUUUCGUAAAUCAUUGUAUAACAACCGAUUAUGGCGAUGCUCGUGGGUGCGAUUAUGUUUCACGCACGUCGGCCACGAAUCCAUUUAAUUUUGCACGGCGCGACGCGGCGGUUCACCAGCGUCGCUUCUUAUAUGGAUCGACCUGUCGAAAGGCAAACAACUGAUAUGGGUCCACAACCUAUCCCGAAUCUCGCAUUAAUAAUUCAGAGCAUUCCUUGGCCGGAUCUUGGUUCGCUUGCAGGGUGUGGGACGUCGCGUCAGCGGUGAAGAAUGGUAUACGAUAAGAUUAAGCCCUAAAGACAUCCGUGGUAGAAAAUGAAGUUGUGACUCGAGUAAUUAUUCACAUUUCCUUCAAACUCAAAAAAUUUUCCAACGAUAGAAAAAUAGAAUUUUAUGAUCGAAACCAUCUCCCAUCGAAUGCAGAAAGUUUGAAGUAGAGUAUCAAGGAUAAAAUGUUAAGUAAAAAUAGCAGAGAAGAUAAAAGGAAAGAGGAAGUCAUCGACAGAUGGCAGACGGUCGCAAUUAUCUAUUAACACAUACGGUAUAUUACUCAACAAAUGUGAUUGGCGGAUAGUUCAGGUUCUAACUAAAAGUACCAGAUGCUCUCGAUUAUACGUUCGCAGGUUCGCGGAUAUCGAUGCAUAUUGACGACGAAAUUAAGCGAUAACCGGUUUUCUCCGAGUCUAAUUAUGGGUUUACAGCAUAUCGAAGGCAAGGAACACAAAGAGUAAAUUAACUCAGAACGGAUGUGAGCCUCACCAUAAUCGAACUUAGACAAUAGGUAUGACUACCACGCUCUUUGGCGCAGGGAGCAUAGUGAAAUACGCGGAUAUUUCUCCGAAUAGCACGGAGCCUGGUUCGAAAAGAUGCUGCUACGCCUCACGGAAGAAACUAAAUCCAAUUUAAUGAUCCUUAAUGAUCAAUGUACGAUAGAAAGGUGCGAACUAAUCGCGAAAAAAUUGUCUUAUUGCAAGAUACGAAGCAAGAAACUUGAAAGAACGUUCCAAGUUAAUUAAAUGACAAUUCCAUGUUGGUAAAGUGAUUUCAAAUUCCUCGAACUCGAGUAGUAGCUUCGAUUCAAGUAACUUAACUAAUCCAAACGAGACUCUAGAUAUUUACUUGAAGUCGGGUUAUUUAAAUUGAAACGAUCGAUGUAACUUGUACGAGGAUAAAGUCAAAGUUACCAAUUUGAACGAAGCUUACACGUCACUCCCAAAGUAUCGAGUGUUUCGCGUACUUGAUACCUUCGUCCGAUGCUUCUGCGGUAGCUGAAUGAAUUCCACGCUGUGUAAUGAAAGAGCAUUGUUUGUCAGAAUAUAAUAGCCCGAAGGAAACGCGUGCUUCCAACAGCUGACGCGAUCCUGCGUGGCAGCCUUGCGUAAUUCGAAUUACGUAAUGACAACCGCGCCGAUGACGGAGCCAUGGUUCGCCGUCAUCGGCUUUGUCCUGAGCUAAAUAUCGAUCACUGUCCCGCGUAUGUGCGGUUAUUAUCGCGCGUGUCUCUCGUUACGCGAUUUCCAGCCGACUCUUGGCUCCGCUCCGACUUUCCGCCCUGAAGAAAAGAUAUCCUGCCGCGGAGUCAACGAUCGUUACGGAAGAUCGUAAACUGUCGCCGUUCAUUGUGCAAUAAAACUUGAGCAUUCGCAACACUCCUCCGUCCAUCCACGUCUUUACGUUCGUUCGCGCGGAUCAACCUUCCGACCGAUACAGAAGGGGAUUAAGAUUCAUAAUUAUUCGAUUAAUUUCAUAAUCGAUUGAGCUAUAACUUCAAAUAAUACAUUGAACUUUUCUGUAAUAAUUAGAGUGCAGACGUUCGCGCGUUUAUGGAAAUUUCAAGAUGCAAAAAUGCACAGAAUGCUUCGAGCGUGCAAUAAAUAUGUAAAAUAUCCAAAGCAGUUUCUAAUAAUAACGAACGCGAAUGUUAAAAGUUACUUUAGCUUCUAUUUUAUUUAACUGUCUACUUUUAUCGCGUUCUUGGCAAUUGUUAACGGCGUUGUUUGGAUUGUAUAAGGACGAACAUAGAUGAUCAUCAAGGAGGUAAUUUAUUGAGGUAGAACUUUCAGGGUGCACGAUAUUCUAUAGACGAACAAUAUCGAUCGUACAAUUAUACUACAAGAAACGAUAUAAGUUUUCUUAACUUUAUCCUUCAAAGUUGAGGUUCAAAUAAAACCACUUUCAUUAAUGAAUUUACGUUGCAAGCAGCAUGAAAAUCAAUUCUUGGAAGACACGCGAGGAUCAUAUUUUGUAUGUAUGUACAGUAAAAGGGACGGAAAAAGGUGGAAAGCGAAACGAUUAUAAUUGAAAAAAAUACGACAGUGAGAGGACAGAGUGUUUCACCAAUUUCUUUAUAUGUCCUUGCAUACGUGUACGUGCAAUAUACGUGUUCGUGAAUGGGCGUGUAUUUUGCAACUGAACGAACGCCGGGAAAUAGAGUAAGGGAACUGUGUCUGUCCAUGGUCACGCUUCGUGGAUGCAGUCAUUCACGCGGCCAAUCGUCGCAAUGGACUAACAACAUCCUGCAAUUAAAGUACUUGUUCUGAUAUAGUUCCACGACAUGUGGAGCAGAGAUCGAAAGACGACGGCCGACGAAUUUCGGUGAAAUCAUUCUCAGUCGCCUAUAACUGAUUGCCUUUCCCCGCAAAUUCAUAAAUCAACGUUAUGCGCUCUGUACGUAAGACAUACUUAACGAGCUCGAAUGGCAAAAUAGGAAAAGCUUCGCUACAACACGAUAACAAUCGUUAAUGUACAAGGAGUUAAAAUAGAAAGCGUAUUGCUCUUUAUUUUAAAUCUAAACACCUAUCGAUUAGUAUUCAUUGUACCUGUGCAAAGAAAUUCAAUUUUCCCAUGAACAAAAGUUUUCCUCUGUAAAAGAAAGUAACUCUAGACUUUCGACCAACUUUCAUACCAAGAAUUACCCCGUUUGCGAGGGUUACCUCGUUACCGACACACCCUGUGGUUUAAAAGGUUUCGCUCGUUAACCUGUGAUCUCCGUGAAUAAACGCGUCGUGCAACAAAGCCGUACGAUCCGUCGAUUUAAACAACGGUAGACGUUUCUCAGGACAAUACGCGUUUUGUAGAUCAUGGAGAACAAAACGGGCGUGCUUAAUAUGCUCCGCGUCUUAUCAUGGAAUCGCACGCGAGGCGGUCUCUUCGUCACGCAAAACGACGCUCGUAAAGAGAUCUUGGAAAACACAUAUACGUGUCUACGUUCGAUGCUGCCGCCAGCGUUUCCUAUUUAUUCAUUCAAUAUCUUCGAAUGUAUAUACAAACGCUUGUAGUUGUACGAUUAUAUUAUACUCGCGUCGAGAAUCCAGUCAGGCUACCAUCGACCGAUAUCACGCGAUCCUUGAUAUUUUAAUUAGGGAAUUAGUUAUGUGAUCUGACGUAAAACGAAGUGACUCAACAUUGGGCAUCAUUUCAAAUGAUUUCAGAGUUAUAUUUACUUUAAGCAAGAUAUCUAAACAUCGAAAAUCUUUUUUAAUUUUCGAAUGAUUUCGUGCGAUGGCUUUCACUCUUUUCUCUUUUUCAUUCGUAAUAGAGAAACUUGUUAAAAAAUACUACCCUUGUCCAGAUAUCGAAUCGAACGAAUUAUUGAAAAAUAUAUAUCUAUCAAUCAUCAUUGUUACAAUUUUAUUCUGAACUUCUGCGGCAAAGUAAAGAUCAAGAUACUUAUCCACGCUUUUCGAUUAACUAAUAAGCUAGGUCACUAUCUUCAAUCGGUAAGCGAAAGUCUAUUUCACGUUAUAGAAUUGAAAAUUCUGGAAAAUAUAUAGAAACGCAAUGGAAGAAUACACAAGUUGAUUGCCAGUCUAAAAUAUCGCAGCGUAUAUUUUAUUCAUUCAUCGUCCCCGCCGCUGUCUCGAACGUUUCGUUUGUUCAUUGAAUUCUAACGUUCGAUUCACGUUGCAUACGGGCGGAGAGCAGCACAUGGAUUCCCACAGCGACGAACGCGGUUAGGUCAUCAUUGUCCAUGGUCAUGGGCCGUCUAGGUGGUCCUCGUGAAAAGGAAACUGCAUAAUAUAUGCACACGCGUUUUAUUGCGGCACGCGGGCAAACGCAUAAAGGAAAGGCAACCGCAUUAUGCGCGACACGAGUUCACCGACACGCUGGUUUAUCUUAUGCGCUGUGAUGGAAUCAGACAUGACGCAAGUGGUGCCAGGACAAUUUUUCGUUUAUUUUCUUUUCUCUUCUGCGUUCGAAACACCUUACAAAAAUUAAACCUCUCGAUUAAACAAUUCUUUUAAAUGACAUCUUUUUUUACAACUAUUUUACAAUAAACGGAGAGAUUCGUCUCCAUAGAAUUAACAGUAAACUUGAUGUUAUAUCGUAUAUAUUCGAUAUUAUAAUAAUUUUCAUAUAUUUAACAAUGGCUUCGCGAUGCAAAUCUUCGAGACUUUGCAUCGAAAUCGAUUUCAUAAGAUUGAGAUAUCUGAUCUAGACUGGUCGCACGAUGUCGUUGGACCAAAAUGUAUUCUCGCACCGAUAUGAAUUUUCAGGUGGUUAGUAAGCUCUUCUGCGUAGAAACCACCGAUAUAUACCAUCGUGUAAAAGAAGGACCGUGGGAGGCGAAGAGAGUGCAUUCGCGUGGGCCUGUAUCCUGUGCCACGUCCAUUUGUCCCCGUGUCCGUUUCGUUUGUCGACAGUAGUAUGUAUGCGCUGUCGAGAUUAUCUUUUGGUGGAAAACGAGUCACCGUAAAUCGUAUAGCGCGUUACGGUCUUUCGUCUUUUAUAGUAAGCCUAGCAGAAGGAUAAACCGCCCCUGCUGAGAAAAGAUUAAUUAAACGUAUCAUCGCGUGUUUAACAUUUUACUUUGCAUUAUCCUAAUUAUUACGUAUGGAAUAUGUAACGUAGAUAUUAGAAGAAUCAAAAUUCAUGUACAUAAGGAAGAGUAAUGAUACUUCACUUACUUUACAUAUUUAUUUCUUUCUCUCUCAAGGUACUGUUAUCAGUUUGAGGCAGGUAUACAACAGGGUUAACACUCGCUACCAGCAAAUAUGCCAACGUUAGGCGAAUCGUUUGCACGCACGAAAUUAUAUACACGUAUUGUUACAUCCGCUUUCAUUCGACAUUCCUUUGAAAGAGAGAUUAUUAUUACGUCCUACGGACGCAUCAGGAAUACAAAUGAAAGGCGUGAACUAUCGAGUGGGUAAAAAAAGGGAAAUUAGCAUAAUGUCUCGAAUCAUAAAUUACACGUGUAUUGUCAAAAAUUGAUCGCAGAAGUAGAUAUUAUCUUUUAUAUAUAUAUAUAUAUCUUAGAAAUUAGUACAACUCUAGAUUAAUUAACAAUAUAUAGUUGUAUUUUUCCUCACUUGUUAUCACUCGCUUUUAAUGUAGUAAUUGUAAAUACAAAAGAAUUCACUUCUUAUGAACCGUAGACUAUCGCGUGUUCUAUAAAUGUACCCUGAUAAACGAGACGAUAUAAUACGUAUAUAUGUACAGGGUUAACGACCGCAGGGGGUGCAGUUGGGUGCGGCUUUUCCUAAUAUCGUUAAAGGUGAGAGCAAACGUUUCACCGAUUAUUUACAGGAUACAAAGCAAAUAACGGUUGUGUUAGAACGUUUAUACGCGUUCCUCGGAGUAAUAGGUAUGAUGUGUAUAAUGAAUAAUUGAAUUUCUAACAAAUAUCGAAACGAUAAUUCAUGGACGGAAAUAAUGUGCGCAAGUAUCGUCGAAGAUAAAAUGUUUAUUAUAGAGAACAUGCUACACCACUUUUUCUUUGGGAUAUUGUACGAUAGUGCUCCGAUUUGAAUAGCACAAAAUUAGCAACUGCUCAUUUACAAUUGUAUAUACUAUUGUAUAUACAAUUUUACAAGGAUUUUACAAUGUCAAUUUCUCUUGAUAUUGGAUUGAUAGGAAAUUGUCGUUUUGUGGAUGCUCGAUCAAAAAACUAUACAAUAGUUUGAUCUGUCAACAAAACGCAAAAAACCUCAAUUGUUUAAAAGUUUUGUCCUUGUUUACAAACAUACGUACUAUUUUCUUAUUAGUAUAUUCAUGUUUUGCUAUAAUGGUUACGAUCAACGUGGAAAAAAGGUGUAUUCUAAAAAUUCUAUGUUUUGAAGAGAAUGUAAUUAAUAAAAGAGAAAUAAAAAAUUAUUAUAAUUAUAAUAAUUAUAAGAUUACAUUUAACUUCAAAUUACUUUAUGUCAUUCAUACUUUAUCUUAUAUCCGCAAAACACUUGAUCUUAUAAUCAUAAUCGUUAACAGUAUAUCAUUAAUAUUCAUUCUACUUAUUCACAGAAAAACCGUGUAUUAUUACUAUAAAAUACUCAUAUACAAUCACAAAUGUAACAUCUCUCAAGUCAAUGAAAAA